GCAAAAUUCAUAGUGGUAAGUAAUCCCGCCUGUCACGCGGGUGACCCGGGUUCGAUCCCCGGCAACGGCGCCA
rnacentral:tRNA from 1 species